rnacentral:rRNA from 1 species
UACGGAGGGUGCUAGCGUUGUUCGGAAUUACUGGGCGUAAAGGGCGCGUAGGCGGCCGUUUGCGUCGGAUGUGAAAGCCCGGGGCUCAACCUCGGAACGGCAUUCGAUACGGGACGGCUGGAGACCGGGAGAGGAGAGUGGAAUAGCCAGUGUAGAGGUGAAAUUCGUAGAUAUUCGGAAGAACACCAGUGGCGAAGGCGGCUCACUGGACUGGUAUUGACGCUGAGGUGCGAAAGCGUGGGGAGCAAACAGG